rnacentral:rRNA from 1 species
AACGAACGCUGGCGGCAUGCCUAACACAUGCAAGUCGAACGAGACCUUCGGGUCUAGUGGCGCACGGGUGCGUAACGCGUGGGAAUCUGCCCUGGGGUGCGGAAUAACUCGGAGAAAUCCGUGCUAAUACCGCAUAAUGUCUUCGGACCAAAGAUUUAUCGCCCUGGGAUGAGCCCGCGUAGGAUUAGCUAGUUGGUGGGGUAAAGCCUACCAAGGCGACGAUCCUUAGCUGGUCUGAGAGGAUGAUCAGCCACACUGGGACUGAGACACGGCCCAGACUCCUACGGGAGGCAGCAGUGGGGAAUAUUGGACAAUGGGCGAAAGCCUGAUCCAGCAAUGCCGCGUGAGUGAUGAAGGCCCUAGGGUUGUAAAGCUCUUUUACCCGGGAUGAUAAUGACAGUACCGGGAGAAUAAGCUCCGGCUAACUCCGUGCCAGCAGCCGCGGUAAU